UACGUAGGUCCCGAGCGUUGUCCGGAUUUAUUGGGCGUAAAGCGAGCGCAGGUGGUUUAUUAAGUCUGGUGUAAAAGGCAGUGGCUCAACCAUUGUAUGCAUUGGAAACUGUUAGACUUGAGUGCAGUAGAGGAGAGUGGAAUUCCAUGUGUAGCGGUGAAAUGCGUAGAUAUAUGGAGGAACACCGGUGGCGAAAGCGGCUCUCUGGCCUGUAACUGACACUGAGGCUCGAAAGCGUGGGGAGCAAACAGG
rnacentral:rRNA from 1 species